rnacentral:rRNA from 1 species
GACGAACGCUGGCGGCGUGCUUAACACAUGCAAGUCGAACGGAAAGGCCCUGCUUUUGUGGGGUGCUCGAGUGGCGAACGGGUGAGUAACACGUGAGUAACCUGCCCUUGACUUUGGGAUAACUUCAGGAAACUGGGGCUAAUACCGGAUAGGAGCUCCUGCCGCAUGGUGGGGGUUGGAAAGUUUCGGCGGUUGGGGAUGGACUCGCGGCUUAUCAGCUUGUUGGUGGGGUAGUGGCUUACCAAGGCUUUGACGGGUAGCCGGCCUGAGAGGGUGACCGGCCACAUUGGGACUGAGAUACGGCCCAGACUCCUACGGGAGGCAGCAGUGGGGAAUAUUGCACAAUGGGCGGAAGCCUGAUGCAGCAACGCCGCGUGCGGGAUGACGGCCUUCGGGUUGUAAACCGCUUUCGCCUGUGACGAAGCGUGAGUGACGGUAAUGGGUAAAGAAGCACCGGCUAACUACGUGCCAGCAGCCGCGGUGAUACGUAGGGUGCGAGCGUUGUCCGGAUUUAUUGGGCGUAAAGGGCUCGUAGGUGGUUGAUCGCGUCGGAAGUGUAAUCUUGGGGCUUAACCCUGAGCGUGCUUUCGAUACGGGUUGACUUGAGGAAGGUAGGGGAGAAUGGAAUUCCUGGUGGAGCGGUGGAAUGCGCAGAUAUCAGGAGGAACACCAGUGGCGAAGGCGGUUCUCUGGGCCUUUCCUGACGCUGAGGAGCGAAAGCGUGGGGAGCGAACAGGCUUAGAUACCCUGGUAGUCCACGCUGUAAACGGUGGGUACUAGGUGUGGGGUCCAUUCCACGGGUUCCGUGCCGUAGCUAACGCUUUAAGUACCCCGCCUGGGGAGUACGGCCGCAAGGCUAAAACUCAAAGGAAUUGACGGGGCCCCGCACAAGCGGCGGAGCAUGCGGAUUAAUUCGAUGCAACGCGUAGAACCUUACCUGGGUUUGACAUGGAUCGGGAGUGCUCAGAGAUGGGUGUGCCUCUUUUGGGGUCGGUUCACAGGUGGUGCAUGGCUGUCGUCAGCUCGUGUCGUGAGAUGUUGGGUUAAGUCCCGCAACGAGCGCAACCCUUGUUCACUGUUGCCAGCACGUUAUGGUGGGGACUCAGUGGAGACCGCCGGGGUCAUCUCGGAGGAAGGUGGGGAUGACGUCAAGUCAUCAUGCCCCUUAUGUCCAGGGCUUCACGCAUGCUACAAUGGCUGGUACAGAGAGUGGCGAGCCUGUGAGGGUGAGCGAAUCUCGGAAAGCCGGUCUCAGUUCGGAUUGGGGUCUGCAACUCGACCUCAUGAAGUCGGAGUCGCUAGUAAUCGCAGAUCAGCAACGCUGCGGUGAAUACGUUCCCGGG